rnacentral:tRNA from 1 species
GCCGAAGUGGCGGAAUGGCAGACGCGACGGAUUCAAAAUCCGUUGGGGUAACACCCGUGUGGGUUCAAGUCCCACCUUCGGUAC